UACGUAGGGGGCAAGCGUUGUCCGGAAUCAUUGGGCGUAAAGCGCGUGUAGGCGGCUGGGUAAGUCUGCUCUGAAAGCCCGGGGCUCAACCCCGGGAGGCGGGUGGAUACUGCUCAGCUCGAGUCCGGAAGAGGAGUGUGGAAUUCCUGGUGUAGCGGUGAAAUGCGCAGAUAUCAGGAGGAACACCGAUGGCGAAGGCAGAUCUCUGGGCCGUAACUGACGCUGAGGAGCGAAAGCGUGGGGAGCGAACAGG
rnacentral:rRNA from 1 species